rnacentral:rRNA from 1 species
UACGUAGGUGGCGAGCGUUAUCCGGAAUUAUUGGGCGUAAAGAGGGAGCAGGCGGUCAGAAGGGUCUUUUGUUAAAAGGCAACAGCUCAACUGUUGAAUGGCGAAGAAACCGGCUGACUAGAGUUCUAUAGAGGAUCGUGGAAUUCCAUGUGUAGCGGUGAAAUGCGUAGAUAUAUGGAGGAACACCAGUGGCGAAGGCGACGAUCUGGAUAGAAACAGACGCUGAGUCCCGAAAGCGUGGGGAGCAAAUAGG